UGUACAGAUGCAGAAGUGUAAGAAAUAUUGAGGAAUGUAAAAACAACCUGUCACAGGAGAAAAAUAACAAAAAAACGCCAUGGAUAAUUCAAAGAAAACAUAAAAACAAAUUUCCAGUGCUGAUUACAUAUAUCUCAAGGUUAAUUUAUCCUUCAGUUGACUUGUCUGGAGUAGCAACAUCAAACAUCAUUUUAACAAGACUCUGUCUACAGGAAAUUACACACAGGUCUAAAGAUCCUUGCUUAACUUUGGGGCAAAGUUAUGCUUUGUAUAUCUCGGAGAGCAUAGAAAUAUGAAUAACACAUUACUGCUCCAAAUCCCAAGCGUGCCUUCACACAGAACCACAUAUGCAAGACCCAUUGCAAGCGCCUUGCCCAAGGAUGUAACCCUGUCAACAUACUAGUCGUUUUGUCAGCUUCAAGUGAAACACGAUCUGCCAUGGCUAGGGAGCAUCACACUGUACACCUAGGAGAUUCACCAGGGGUUAUGUAGGCCAGCACUCUACUGACUAAGCUAUCAAACCCUCCUCACACAAUGCACAAGUGCCAGACUUGGAUUCAAACUCGGGACCUCUUAUGUUAUGGAGAUAAGCCAAAAAGUGUACAAUAUCUACCAAUAAAUAACCGACUUGGCUACCUGGUCACCAAUAGUCAGCCUAACAAGUCCCACAUCUGGGAUCUCCUUGUCAGAAAUCUUCAAUUGUGCAGUCUGACAGUCAUUUUUAUUACUGAUGUGUAAAAUUGUACUAAAUUGGUAUGGUAUUGUCGGAUGUUUCCGAAAACGCUUCUUCAAAUUGAACAUUGCUCAGUGUCACUCAGAUCACAGCAGAUAUUCCCUUGCAAAAUGAAGCACAAUAUCGCUUUAUAAACAAUCAGAAUUUUUAUCGAGUUUAGUAAUUACAGACAUGGUUACUUUCCUUUCUAGACUUUGCUUUUUUGUGGUUCAUACACCUUUUGGGUCCACUUCUUUUCCAUUGACUGUAUAUGGGUAAACAUUCGCUCUGGACUUUCUUUCAUCCUCAAAGAAAACUUUUCAUAUACAUCCAAUCUUAAUCUUGCCCAUAAGUUUAUUAAAGUCAUACUUGCAGGUUUUCUAAAUCAAACUUCAGCACACAGCUUAUUUUUGCUAUGUUGAUAAAAUUGUGUAAUAGGAGAAGUGUACCUGUAUACAGCAUCUCAAUUUGUCUCUAAUAUUGGUUUCCAUCAGUAAACUGUACCUGUAUACAGUAUCUCAAUUUGUGUCUAAUACUGGUUUCCAUCAGUAAACUAUACCUGUAUACAGUAUCUCAAUUUGUCUCUAAUACUGGUUUCCAUCAGUAAACUAUACCUGUAUACAGUAUCUCAAUUUGUCUCUAAUACUGGUUUCCAUCAG